rfam:Kurthia sp. 11kri321, complete genome.
UCUAACCUAAGCAACGUAAACCCUACCUUCUUUUACGUCCUUGUGACCCCAUAGUCACGCCAGUGUGAAUAAGUAUCUUCAAAAACAA